rnacentral:lncRNA from 1 species
AGGCGGAUUUAGGGGAUGGGGAUAGGUCGGGGGACGGGGUUUGGGGAUGGCUAACUGCGCCCUUCCUAUGCAGCGUUAGAAAGCAGCACACAAAAGUACUCGUUAUCGCUGUUUCCUCGUCUAAAACCAGCUCCGCUCGCGCCAGCUCCCCUAACCCCACCCCGAAAAACCUGUGCGCAAGCAGCCGCCGGCAACGACGGACUUGCGAGAAAUACCGGUAAUUUAGCCGUCGCCUGACAACGGCACGAAACACGCAGCCCUUCUCUAAGGGUAUUUGCGAGAAAGCGAAGGCGCUUUGCUUUGUUUGCUUAGGUUGGCGAUGAAAAGGAGUGAAUGUUACGACGGCUUUAUAAAGCUAAUAUCGCCUGGGAAGAAAAACACCAUCAAACGCACCGGGUUGUUGUGGCAGCUCGUGUUUGAGCGCACGCAGCCAAUUUCUGCAAAGGGCUCCGCUGGCGCGGCUCCGCGGAGCGGCCUCCGGCUCGGCUCAGCUCGGGCUUCGCGAGAGCUUCCCGGUGGCCGCCAGGGAGGAUCCCCUGGAAGACCAAACCUCAUCUGUCACGUUAAAUGACUUGAGUCUUGGCUACCUGACCCAAACUCCCCGGUACAAAUUAUAUGUAGCGCUAAGCCUCAAACUGCCCCGGAGCUGUCACUCCCCAGGGUGUUUUCACGUGAGCUCUGACUCGAGAGAUGGGAGCAGAAGUUGGGCCGGCAGGUUGUUCGGCGCCUCCGACAUCCCAAGGAAAACGGAGGCACAGAGAAGUCAAGCUGCACAUCCGUGGUCAUGCAAGGGCCAGGCCAACUGCUGCCCACUGUGGACACCGUGCGAGGUUACACCGCUCCGGCAAUCGCGGUGCAGGCAGCUGAUGUUUCUGCAUCAGCAGGAUUAAUCAGAUGAGCACAACCUGCAAGACAGGAGCAGGUCUUGAUGCCGGGGCUGGGCGUACUGCCGAGGUCGCUGCCGCACGCUCGGCUUUCCUCGUGAGAAUUCGCUGGGACCCAAGGACAGCACGGCAGCAUUUUGUAAGUCCUCACUGAUGCAUCUCUUCCAAGCCUUCCUGUUCAGGCUCUUUCACAAAAAUAAAAAACCCGCCAGAUUUUCA